UACGUAGGGUGCAAGCGUUAUCCGGAAUUAUUGGGCGUAAAGAGCUCGUAGGCGGUCUGUUGCGUCGGCUGUGAAAACCCGGGGCUCAACUCCGGGCCUGCAGCCGAUACGGGCAGACUAGAGUUCGGCAGGGGAGACUGGAAUUCCUGGUGUAGCGGUGAAAUGCGCAGAUAUCAGGAGGAACACCGGUGGCGAAGGCGGGUCUCUGGGCCGAUACUGACGUGAGGAGCGAAAGCGUGGGGAGCGAACAGG
rnacentral:rRNA from 1 species